AUCCUUCCGGAUAAUCAGAAUGGAAGUAGAGUAUUAAUAAAACUCACUCAAAUUAAGAUGGUCACCUCAUUUCAGCUCAAAGACGGAGAGAACAUUCGGCUUGAUUUAGUGCCCACUGGAGGACCAUUGAGAGCUACAUACCAAGGAUGGCCUUUCCUCAUCUUAUAUCAUGGAAGCAUCUCAUUCGAAGAAAAUAUAGUGGAAGCAAUCGAGACACCCUUAGGGCUUCUAACUGUAAUAUGUUGCAAGCUACCUUUUCACUUGAAACUUUGUUUUCUCUACUUAUCUGUGUUUCCCGCACACCUAGAGAUAUCCACCAGGCAGUUAUAUCAGUUGUGGAUAGCUGAAGGUUUCAUUCCAGACAACAGUGUGGCAAUUGCUGGGAAGUACUUAGAGCAACUAAUCAAUAGAGGCUUUGUUGAUACAAGGAAGAGAAGAGCUGGAGGCACUAUCAACACAUGCUCUGUUCGUGGUCGUUGCCGUCCUGUGUUGUUAACAGUGGCUUUCAAGGCAGAAUUUAUCUUUCUCUUGUUCAUGGAUUCAAAAGGUAAAUCACAAAAAAAUGUUAAAUGGGUCAGCGUUUUUGAAAAACAUAGUGAUUUUGUUCACUUAGAUGAUUAUGACUCGCACAUGCAUUCUUUGUUGUACUUCACUUCAAAAAGCGACCACCUUGACCCAAUAGAUUGGGAGAAAAUUUGCAGAAUGUUCAAAUUUCUCAGAGUAUUGGACUUGGGAUCUCUUGUUCUCAUCCAAUAUCCAUCCGGAAUUGAAAAUUUAUUUCUUUUGAGAUAUUUAAAGUUGAAUAUCCCUUCCCUCAAAAUCCUGCCUUCAUCAUUAUUAAGCAAUCUUCUGAACCUUUACACCUUAGACAUGCCCUUUAGCUAUAUAGAUCAUACAGCAGAUGAAUUUUGGAAGAUGAAAAAACUCAGGCAUCUAAAUUUGGGGUCAAUCACACUUCCUGCGCAUCCAGGAAAAUAUUGUGGCUCUCUUGAAAAUCUCAAUUUCAUUUCAGCCUUGCAUCCUUGCUGCUGUACUGAAGAUAUAUUGGGCAGACUACCUAAUCUUCAAAAUCUCUAGAUACAGGGAGAUUUAAGUUAUUAUCAAUCCUUGUUGUCCAAAAGCCUCUGCAGAUUGAGCUCUCUUGAGUCAUUGAAGCUGGCGAAUGAAAGCAAGAUGCCACGGUUCUCCAAAAUAGUCCUUGCUGAAUACUUAUUUCCUCAUAGUCUAACCCACCUGAGUUUUUCUAAUACUGACCUAAUGGACGAUCCCAUGCCGGCACUAGAAAAGCUGCCGCUUCUUCAAGUGCUCAAACUGAAGCAAAACUCGUAUUCAGGUAGAAAGCUGACUUGUGGUUCUGAUGGUUUUCCAAGGCUUAAGGUAUUGCACAUGAAAUCAAUGCUAUGGCUAGAGGAGUGGACUAUGGGGACUGGGGCAAUGCCAAAACUAGAAUGCUUGCUUAUCAACCCUUGUGCUUACUUGAAAAGGGUUCCUGAACAGCUCUGGUGCAUAAAGAGCUUAAACAAAUUCGAUUGCUGGUGGCCUCAGCCAGAGCUGAGACAAAAGCUACGGGAAUUCAAGGAUAAGGAGCAGUAUGGCGUUCAGCUUUAUCCUUACGGAAUUUGAUUAGCCCUGAUUGAGUUUGAUGUAAGUUUUUUCUUCUUCCCCAAUAACUUCAACCUUUAAUUAUUGAUCUAAUUUCAUAUAAAAGUUUUUUUUCUCCACAAUAGAUUUGAUAGUAUGCAGCUGCCUGAACUAUAAUCAUAAUAUAAAGUGUUUUCUACAUUCUAAUUGUGGUUGCUUCUAAUUUUUGUCUCAAGCCAAAGUUUCAAUUUCAACCAGAAUCCAGCCUUCAUCCUUUCAGUGUUCACUUCUGCUAAGUUGUCUACACGUUGUUUGGUUUCUUUGUUUUCAAGGAUUUGCAUGCUAAAAGUAAUAAUGUCAUGUUCGGAUUAAUAUAUUGUACAAAAGUUUGAUUAAUUGUUUUACUUUCUAUUUUCAGUUUCAUUGGUGUGUAUUCAAUUUGUCAACAUUCAAAUUGAUAUAUGUUAUGUUUUUAUUUUUAUUUUAUUUCUUUCUCUAGUUUUUAAGUAGUGGUACAGUUCUGUCAAGGAAGCUCAUAAUGCAUGGAAGGAAGCAGCACACGUGUGAGAUGAAUACAGUCAGCUGAAUCAAUUGAAGAGUGAAGUGCCAGCUCAGCUGAAGUUAGUUAGACACAUUAAGAUCAUAUUCAGUUAGCUUCUUUAUUUUCUGUUAAGCUGUAAACAGCUGAGUAUAAAUACAAGCAUCUUGUAAUCAUUUUGUUAUCAUGUAAAAAUGAAAUAAAGCAUUUGAUUCAGAAGUCUUUUACAAAUGUUCUUAGCACUUUAAAUACAUUUUCUCAGUAACCAAACAGUCUGUUCAUUCAAGCUUUUAAGCUUUCAAACAUGGUAUCAGAGCUAUACAGAGCUAGUUCCAAUAAUCAACAGUCAAGCUUUCGUAAUCAAACAACAAACAACACAAAUCAAUCUACUCAAAUCAACUUCUCCUUUACUAAACCUAUCAAGCUAGAUCGAUCAAAUUACUUACUCUGGCGCUCUCAAGUUUUAGCUUCAAUAAGAGGCAAUCGUUUGGAAGAUUUCGUCACAGGAGCCAAAUCAGUACCUGAUAAGUGUCUUCUGUUAACUGAAGCAGAUGGAUCUACACAACAAAUUGAAAAUCCAGAAUAUCAGAUCUGGAGAUCACAGGAUCAGACACUUCUUGGCUGGCUACUGUCGUCAUUAAGUGAAGGUAUCUUGAGUCUUGUUAUCAAUUGUGAGAGUUCAUUUGAUAUAUGGAAAACUUUGGAAAAGAAAUUUGGAGUUCAAUCUGAAGCUCGAGUUCUUCAACUCAGAUAUGAACUAAACACUCAUAAAAAGGAAGCUCUUAGUGUUGAAGAUUAUUGUAUUAAAAUGAAAGCAAUAGCUGAUAAGCUAGCCAGUGCUGGUAGUUCAAUUACAGAGAAGGAUUUUAUGUUAACUAUUCUUAAUGGAUUAGGACCAGGAUUUCGUGAUAUUGCUACACUUAUAACUGGUUCACGAAUGGAAUUUGAUGAUGCUUAUGCACUGUUACUCACUCAUGAGACUAGAUUAGAGCAGCAGCAAGGUGGCAGAAGUAUGUUUAAUGCAAACUAUGCAUAUACGAAUGCAUAUUAUCCUAGAGCUUAUUUUGCACAGCCUAGAGGAAAUUUUAAACGAGGAGGUUAUUCUGGUGGUAGAACUCCUUUCUUUGGCAGAGGAAAUAUGAAUUACUCUCCAAGAAUGUUUAAUGGAGGUGUUAGAAAUGGAUAUGGCAGAGGAUUUUUUCCUGGAAAUAACUCCACUGAUUUCAAUCAUUUUUCAGCUCCGAGGAAUCCAGUACCUAGGAACUCAUCCUUUCUAGCUAGAAAUGGUGCUAAUAUGAGUGGAUCACAAGGAAGCUUUAAUAAUGCUGGGGAGCUGGUAUGUCAGAUUUGCUUUAAGAAUGGUCAUACUGCUGAUGUUUGUUGGCACAUAUUUAUUGAAGACUUUGUACCUGUUCCAAGAGGUUUUGGCAGGGGAAAAACACCAAGAGCAGCAUAUUUCUCAAACUUUGAUGGCUCUACUUCUAAUCCAGAUUUUGGCUAUGAAAACAAUAAUAUGUUUCCAGGUUAUGAUUCUAUAUCUGGCAAUAGUUACUAUUCUGGAAUGGAUGGAUACACUUCUGGAGCAGCUGGAACAGCUUUCAUGGCUAAUUUUGAAGGGACUGCUGAUGAUGGAUGGUAUCUGGAUAGUGGGGCAACUCACCAUUUAACCAACAAUAUGGAGAAUUUGCAGAUCAAUGAAGAGUUUAAAGGUACUGAUCAGCUUAUCAUUGGAAAUGGUCAAGGUUUGUCUAUUACUCAUGUUGGACAUGCAUUUCUGGUAUUAAGAGCUUCUAAAUCUUUAUCUACACGUGCUAGAAUAACACUUAAAGAUGUGUUACUUGUUCCUUCAAUUACCAAAAAUCUAUUAAGUAUUUCCAAACUCACAUCUGAUAAUCCUGUAUCUGUUGAAUUCUGUGGAAAUGUUUGUUUUGUGAAGGACAUGAAGGGUCAAGUUCUUCUGCAGGGUAUUGCUGAAAAAGGCCUUUAUAAGCUGCUGCUGAAAUCUAAUUCUCUUUCUUCAUCACCUACAUCUUAUCCUUGUAAAUCCCAGCCAAAUAAACUAGUUUCUAUGUUAUCUGCUUUCAAACACUGUGAUAAUGGUACUCGAGCUUGCUAUCAGUCUGUUUUAAAUAAGUGUAAUGUCAAACCUGAUAUGAUAACUUUGUUACAUAGAAAGUUUGGUCAUCCAAGCUCAAUGACAUUGGUGCAUUUGCUCAAAUCAUGUAAACAGUUUAAAAUCUCUCCAAAAGAUAUGUUAUCUUCUGCAAACACUUUAUGUGAAGCAUGUCAGCUAGGCAAAGUCCAUAAGCAACAUUUCUUAAUAACUGAAACAAAAACAAAAGGGGUAUUAGAAUUGAUUCAUACUGAUCUUUGGGGGCCUUCACCUACUGUGUCUAGAGAUGGAUACAAAUACUACAUUAGUUUUGUGGAUGAUUAUACUAGGUAUUCUUGGAUCUAUCCUCUUAAGCUCAAAUCACAAGCAUUUGAAGUUUUUAAAUUGUUCAAAACUCAAGUUGAGAAUCAGUUUGAUACCAAAAUUAAGAAGCUACAAUCUGACCUUGGGGGAGAGUUUAGAGCAUUUAUUGAUUUUCUGAAUCAAAAUGGAAUAAUGUUUAGACACUCAUGUUCUUACACUCAUCACCAGAAUGGUAUUAUUGAAAGGAAACACAGGCAUAUAGUUACACCAGAAUGGUAUUGUUGAGAGGAAACACAUGCAUAUAGUUGAGCUAGGCUUAACCCUCAUGGCUCAAGCAAACAUUUUUCUUCAAUUCUGGUGGGAAGCUGUUCAUACAGCAGUGUAUCAUAUUAAUAGAUUGCCUACCCUUGUUCUGAAAUUCUUAUCUCCUUAUGAGAAACUUUUCAAACACAAACCAGAUUACACAUUCCUGAAGUGUUUUGGUUGUCUUUACUACCCAUACUUGAGGGAUUUUAACAAACAUAAGUUUGAUUUUCACACCUCUAAAUGAAUUUUUAUUGGAUACAAUCCCUCUUAUAAAGGAUACAAGUGCUUAGCAAGUUCUGGCAAAGUCUAUGUUCUUAGACAUGUCAUUUUUUAUGAAAACACAUUCCCUUAUCCAAUAAACACUACAUCUCACUCAUCAGAAAACCCCAUAUCUUCUGAAACCUCAGUGUCUAAUUUCUCUCAACAACAUAUCUAUCAUCUUUCUACAAUGGCCUUACCCAACAGCAGCUUUGAAGGUCUUCAAUCAGCAGGCUCAGCAAGAAGUGAACAAAUGCCCUCUGUUCCCACACAUACAGAUAUUCUGAAUCAACAAGAACAUCCAUCACACACAUCUUUAGAGUUAUCAUCCUCAACCUCACCAUCACCAAACACAUUGCCAGUACAAUCAUCCAUUCUACAAUCAGAGGAAACUUCUAUUCCACAGAACAUAGACCAAAUUCAAACCAGAAAUUAUUCCCAACCAUCUUCUCAUCCAAUGAUUACCAGAUCAAAAUCUGGAAUCUUCAAACCAAAGGUCUAUACAGUCACCUUAGCCAACAAAGAACCUAGUACAGUUCAAGAAGCUCUUAGUAGUCAGAAUUGGCAUCAAGCCAUGGUAGAUGAGUAUGAAGCUUUGAUAAAGAAUGAGACUUGGUCACUGGUACCAUUUUCAAAUGCAUACAAAGUAGUUGCGAACAAAUGGGUGUUUAGAUUUAAGCAAAAUACUGAUGGAAGCAUAGCCAAACACAAGGCCAGGUUGGUUGCCAAAGGUUUUCAGCAAACUGAAGGUGUGGAUUACUUUGAGACCUUUAGCCCAGUUGUAAAAGCUUCAACAGUAAGGAUUAUUCUGAGUUUAGCUGUGAUGCAUAAAUGGAAAAUAAGGCAAGUGGAUGUGAAUAACGCAUUUUUGAAUGGAGACUUGACAGAGGAUGUCUAUAUGUAUCAGCCUGAAGGUUUUAUUGAUCAACAAAAACCCAAUCAUAUAUGUAAGCUGAAGAAGGCCUUGUAUGGCUUGAAGCAAGCUCCUAGAGCUUGGUAUGACAAGCUUAAGAAUUGUCUUAUUGCUAAUUGGAAAUUUCAGAAUUCAAAGGAUGAUACCUCUCUCUUCUUCAAAGAAGUGCAGGGUUCAAUGAUACUUAUCUUAAUCUAUGUUGAUGACAUUCUAAUAACAGGACCUGAUAAUGGUGAGUUGGAAAAAUUCAUCUCAGAAUUUAGUAAGACUUUUGCCUUAAAAGACUUGGGAAUUCUGUCAUAUUUUCUGGGGAUAGAAGUUUCCUAUGCUGAAGACUGCAUCCAUCUAUCUCAGAAGAAAUAUAUCUUGGAUUUGUUAUCCAAAGCUGAUAUGCAAAAUUGUAAAGGCUGUGACACUCCCAUAGUUACUGGAACAAAGCUUCAGAAAGAAGUCAAAGGCUGUUUGGGUCAAUAUAUUGAGGAUGCAACAAGCUAUAGAAGCUUAGUUGGAGGUUUACAAUAUCUGGUAUUAACCAGACCAGAGAUAGCAUUUGUUGUGCAUAAGUUAAGCCAGUAUGUGACAGCUCCAACACUCCAGCAUGUUAUGGCUUGUAAAAGAGUUCUUAGAUACCUUAAGAAAACUGCAGAUCAUGGUAUGAAGUUUUCAGCAGAUGGGGAAAUGAAGAUCACAGGAUUUACAAAUGCAGAUUGGGCAUGUGAUGUUGAUGACAGAAAAUCAAUAGGAGCAUAUUGCAUUUAUUUUGGAAACAAUCUAAUUUCAUGGUCAUCCAAGAAGCAGGCUGUGGUUACACGAUCCAGUGCAGAGAGUGAAUAUCGUGCUCUGGCUUCUGCAAGUGCAGAGAUAACAUGGAUCCAGUCAUUAUUCAGUGAACUCAACAUUAAGUGUACUUCAUUACCAACUAUCUGGUGUGACAAUAUAAGUGCAACAGAGUUGGCCAAUAAUCCAGUUUAUCAUUCAAGGACUAAACAUAUUGAACUAGAUAUGCACUUUAUUAGAGACAAAGUUUUGGCAAAGGAGUUGGAGAUUAACUAUAUUCCCAGCGAGGAGCAAAUUGCUGAUGCUUUGACAAAGCCUCUGACAUUCAUUCAUUUCAAUUAUUUCAGAGACAAACUCAAUGUGCAACCAUGCCCCUUGAGUUUGAGGGGGGCUGUCAAGGAAGCUCAUUAUGCAUGGAAGGAUGCAGCACACGUGUGAGAUGAAUACAGUCAGCUGAAUCAAUUGAAGAGUGAAGUGCCAGCUCAGCUGAAGUUAGUUAGACACGUUAAGAUCAUAUUCAGUUAGCUUCUUUAUUUUCUGUUAAGCUGUAAACAGCUGAGUAUAAAUACAAGCAUCUUGUAAUCAUUUUGUUAUCAAGUAAAAAUGAAAUAAAGCAUUUGAUUCAGAAGUCUUUUACAAAUUUUCUUAGCACUUUAAAUACAUUUUCUCAGUAACCAAACAGUCUGUUCAUUCAAUCUUUUAAGCUUUCAAACGUUCAACUUCAAGCUUAGUACUUCAGUUAGAAGAAAAGUAUUUGCGCUUUGAUCUCAUCUCAUCAUGUCAACACUGGCAGAACGACAUUGUUGUUCGGUUUUUUGGAAUUUCACCGACGUGUCGGUCAUCAUAAGGGCGAAAGUGCUGGUCAAAAGUGAGUUGGGGUUAGUUAAAAAAUACAGGAAAAUUCUAGGUUGUUAGAGAUAGCCUUUAUCGUAGUUUAUAAGGCUGGUUGAUGGGCCAUCUUCUCAGAUCUCAUCAAAGCAAUGGAGAGAGAGAGAGAGUUGAAAUAGAAAGUUGUAUAUUCUUGUUCUCUGUAACAAGCUCCACAUCCUGGUAACAUUGAUUUGUGAAAUAGUGAAAGCUUGACAACUUAUAUCCUUGUUCUUCACUGGAUGUAGGCACUUUGAUUCAAUUUUUAGUUCGGAUUUCUGAGAAUGAGUCUUCAUACAUCACAUCAAAGAUGGUCUAAGGUGUUUGAUCUUGGUACUGUCAGAGGAUUAAACACAACAAAAAGAAACUGGGGCAUAUUGCCUAAUCUUCAUAAUCUUCAGAUAAAUGGAGAUUAAGCCCUUGUCAAUUUGGGUUGUCCAACAACCCUUGUAAAAUCGAAAACCAGCACUAAUCCUUGGUGAUUUGGAGCAGAAGAUUUAACGAGUAAAGUUCUGAAAGUGGAAUCAUACCAAAGCCCUCUUUUGCAGCAGAGAAAUCCCUGUUUGCAUUAAAAAUGAUCCUUAUAGCCAUUGAGAUUAAUUGAUUAAAUGGAGUUGACAAAUGAAACAAAAACGGAAAAAAAAAAACUUCAAUUCUACCAAAAUCAUUCAACCGUUAUUACCCACUUUGAAUAAAAUUCAACAUCCUUUUUUCUAUUCCUUUCAGGUAAUAAGUUGCUUGUGUUGUUUUUAAUCUCAAUAAGAUAUAUAUCAUCGGCAUAUUGAAGUUUGUGAUUAUUCUAAGAAAAAAUAGGUGCUUUAUUAUUUGAAUUAUCGACAAAAUAAUUUCAUUUCAUUAUUUUGUUAGAUCCACUAUAUGUACAUGUUUGAAUCUUAUUCACAAGGUUUGAUUUCACUCUCACGUUUCAUAUGAUGACAAAUUAGAUAAAAAAAAAUGAAAGCUAGCGUUUCAGUAGCAAUUACAUUAGUAUUUAGCACAUGUUAUUUUGAGUACAAGCACAAUUUGGGUCAUUUUCCAGGACCAACUAUCUUCCAUUUAGAAAUGCAUUGACAAACAGGUUAAUUCGUAAAAUGAUGGUUUCUAGAUAGAAUCUUUCCAAGUUGCACUAACCUCCUUUCCUAAAAGAAUAACGAUCCAGAGGAAAAUGUGAGCUAUAUAGAGAGAGAUUGCUGAUAGAAUAGCUGUAUUUCUUGUUUUUUGCUUUGUACUCUGUAAAAACUCUGUGAUACAUCUUGAAGAAUCAAUAAACGCUAAUCAGAAAUUCCCUCCCAUUGAUGCAAGCUAAUGUAAAUUAGCUGAACCACGUUAAAUCGAUUUGUCCUCUGUUCUUUUAAUUCUUUGAUUCAAUUUGAUCUUAAUUGUUUUUUGUUCUUUCAUCAUCAUCUUGUUUCGAUUCCAUUUUCAAUUGAGCUUCAAAUCAGUUCAUUCUUGGUAGCAUCUUGAUUGAUUGGAUUGUGAUCUUGGACAGCAACUGAGGUAUCUCUGGUGUUAAGCACUCCAGUUGCUACACUGAUGCACUCAAUCAAUAUGCUUUGUUUAUUUACCGAAGAGAUUUGAUUACUGAUAAACUUCAUACUUGCCUGACUCUGAUCCCGUAUAGUGGGUUGAGAGGAUUACAUGGAGAUGCUGUUUAAGCUAAGGCAUAAGGCAGAGAAGCAAGCUAUGGAAGCCAAUUAGGUUGAAGACUGUCAAUAAACAAACAUAAUUCGAUUAGCAGUAGGUCGUUAAUACUUAAUAUUUAACGUGAGGAACAAGUUUUUCAGCCUCGCCUCAGAGUGAUAACUACUUCGACUUUGUCUGUUACUUGGAAACUUUGGUGCCUUCCAUGACAAUCAUUUUGUGGCAGCACAGUGAACGAUUCUGUUGCUUUUGCUUUCAAUGAACAGGGCUACCUUACCAGAUAGGGUUAGCAUUUUAUUAAUUGCAAGUGGUAGCUUAUUUAUUCAUUACUUUUGUCUUCUGUGAAUAUAAAACACUGACUAUGUAAUCAUAAUACUUUUUUAAUAAUGAUUUUGUAAUUAUUUAUUACGCUCCAAGUCAAUAUAUAUCACAUCAACCCCCAAUAUUUUCUCUGCAACUACUUUCUUAUUGUACCCAUUAUCAAAAUUCUAUAAUAAACAUCAUUUAUGUGUAGGAGAAACUAUUGACUAAACUGACAUGCUUGCACUACUGGAGUACUAAGAGAAAGAGUUGUGUAGGUCAACCUAAGAUCAAUUUCAUUCAGCAACAAUAAAUGUUUCAGUGGAUACGUGAUUUUACAUGCCAGUAAGUGGUAGACGUGAUUUUGCAUUUUUCCACAGCUUAAAUUAUUGACGAUCUUGCUCUGUUCUUUUCUUUUCAAAUAGACUUUAUGGUCCCGGUGGAAUUGCUUUGACCUUUUCUUUCUUGAAAGUGGAUGUAUAAUACAUAUUGGUCUUGAUUGAUCCUUGAUCAAGACCUAUUUAUUCUCUUCUGCUUUAUUCUUUUUACAACAUAUGGAGAACAGUGUAUUGUAAGAUUCAUGUACAGCACUGCUCUACCUCGAUCUGUUCUGAUUUGAGAGUCAACAAUCUCAAUUCAAUUUCUUGAAUGGAGUACUAGCUAAGAGAACGAGGUAGGGGAGCUUUAAAGCAUAGUUUCUUUUCAACUCUCUAUUUUUAACUAUUUCUUUGCAUGCUACAGGACUGAUUACAGGGUGGUACUGAGAGAGGAGAAGAUAUGGACAUCAACUUCAGAUUAUUUUCAGAGAGGCUGAGAAGGGUGUUCGCUGAUGAAGAAGUCAUGUUGCCUGAUGCUGCAAAACUACCUAAAAGUAGGGACAUGGUGGGUCUAGAUGAUAGAAUGGAGGAGUUGUUAGAUCUAUUGAUCGAGGGACCACCUUAGCUUUCAGUUGUGGCCAUACAUGAUAGCAUUGGGUUGGACAAGACGGCUUUCGCCGGAGAGGCUUACAACAGCAGUUAUGUGAAGCAUUAUUUUGAUUGUCACACUUAGAUUCGGGAGCCUUAUCCGUAUGAAGCUGACCAAAUAUUAGAUAUCAUUAUUAAGUUUCUGAUGCCUUCAUCUAGGUUGAGCGAAAUCAGUUAAAAGGUUUUCAAAAAGUUGUUCUGCUGUACGGCCAAGGCGGAUGUACGGUACAGCAGAAGCGGUAUUUGAUUGUGAUUGAUGAUGUGUGGAACAUUGAAGUAUGGGAUAUUAUUUGAGAAAUAAUCCCGGAUAAUCAGAAUAGAAGUAGAGUAUUAAUAACACUCACUCAAAUUAAGAUGGUCACCUCAUUUCAACUCGAAGACGGAGAGAACAUUCGGCUUGAUUUAGUGCCCACUGGAGGACCAUUGAGAGCUACAUAUAAAGGAUGGCCUUUCCUCAUCUUAUAUCAUGGAAGCAUCUCAUUUGAAGAAAAUAUAGGGGAAGCAGUGGAG
rnacentral:lncRNA from 1 species